UACAGAGGUCUCAAGCGUUGUUCGGAUUCAUUGGGCGUAAAGGGUGUGUAGGUGGCGCGCUAAGUCGGGUGUGAAAUUUCGGAGCUUAACUCCGAAACUGCAUUCGAUACUGGCGUGCUUGAGGACUGGAGAGGAGACUGGAAUUCAUGGUGUAGCAGUGAAAUGCGUAGAGAUCAUGAGGAAGACCAGUGGCGAAGGCGGGUCUCUGGACAGUUCCUGACACUGAGAGCACGAAGGCCAGGGGAGCAAACGGG
rnacentral:rRNA from 1 species